rnacentral:rRNA from 1 species
UACGUAGGGUGCAAGCGUUGUCCGGAAUUAUUGGGCGUAAAGAGCUCGUAGGCGGUCUGUCGCGUCGGCUGUGAAAACCCGGAGCUCAACUCCGGGCCUGCAGUCGAUACGGGCAAACUGGAGUACUGCAGGGGAGACUGGAAUUCCUGGUGUAGCGGUGAAAUGCGCAGAUAUCAGGAGGAACACCGAUGCGAAAGCAGCUCGCUGGAACGUUACUGAC